rnacentral:rRNA from 1 species
UGGGGAAUCUUGCGCAAUGGGCGAAAGCCUGAUGGAGCGACGUCGCGUGAUGGACGAAGUGCUUCGGCACGUAAACAUCUUUUUAUGUGGGAUGAAAUUAUUGACAGUACCACAUGAAUAAGGGGCUCCUAACUCUGUGCCAGCAGGAGCGGUAAUACAGAGGCCCCAAGCGUUAUCCGGAAUCACUGGGCGUAAAGGGUGUCGAGGCGGUUGUAUUAGUCGUUCGUAAAAUCUACGAGCUUAACUUGUAGGCGGCGAACGAAACGGUACGACUUGAGGUUUGGAGAGGUGCGUGGAACUCACGGUGUAGGGGUGAAAUCCGUUGAUAUCGUGGGGAACACCAAAGGCGAAGGCAGCGCACUGGCCAAAAUCUGACGCUCACACACGAAAGCUAGGGUAGCGAAGAGGAUUAGAUACCCCUGUAGUCCCUGAGCGGGCUGGCAAGGCGCAU